rnacentral:rRNA from 1 species
AUUGAACGCUGGCGGCAUGCCUUACACAUGCAAGUCGAACGGCAGCACGGGAGCAAUCCUGGUGGCGAGUGGCGAACGGGUGAGUAAUAUAUCGGAACGUGCCCAGUCGUGGGGGAUAACGCAGCGAAAGCUGUGCUAAUACCGCAUACGAUCUAAGGAUGAAAGCGGGGGAUCGCAAGACCUCGCGCGAUUGGAGCGGCCGAUAUCAGAUUAGCUAGUUGGUGGGGUAAAGGCCCACCAAGGCGACGAUCUGUAGCUGGUCUGAGAGGACGACCAGCCACACUGGAACUGAGACACGGUCCAGACUCCUACGGGAGGCAGCAGUGGGGAAUUUUGGACAAUGGGCGCAAGCCUGAUCCAGCCAUUCCGCGUGCAGGAUGAAGGCCUUCGGGUUGUAAACUGCUUUUGUACGGAACGAAACGGCUUUUUCUAAUACAGAGAGCUAAUGACGGUACCGUAAGAAUAAGCACCGGCUAACUACGUGCCAGCAGCCGCAGUAACAC